rnacentral:tRNA from 2 species
GUGCCUGUAGCUCAGCUGGAUAGAGUGACUGGCUACGAACCAGUAGGUCGGGGGUUCGAAUCCCUCCAGGCACGCCA